rnacentral:rRNA from 1 species
GUGGGGGAUAUUGCACAAUGGGGGAAACCCUGAUGCAGCAACGCCGCGUGAGGGAAGAAGGUUUUCGGAUUGUAAACCUCUGUUCUUAGUGACGAUAAUGACGGUAGCUAAGGAGAAAGCUCCGGCUAACUACGUGCCAGCAGCCGCGGUAAUACGUAGGGAGCGAGCGUUGUCCGGAUUUACUGGGUGUAAAGGGUGCGUAGGCGGCGAGGCAAGUCAGGCGUGAAAUCUAUGGGCUUAACCCAUAAACUGCGCUUGAAACUGUCUUGCUUGAGUGAAGUAGAGGUAGGCGGAAUUCCCGGUGUAGCGGUGAAAUGCGUAGAGAUCGGGAGGAACACCAGUGGCGAAGGCGGCCUACUGGGCUUUAACUGACGCUGAAGCACGAAAGCAUGGGUAGCAAACAGGAUUAGAAACCCUAGUAGUCC